AAGUCGUAACAAGGUUUCCGUAGGUGAACCUGCGGAAGGAUCAUUAAUGAGAUCAUGCCCCUCGGGGUAGACCUCCCACCCCCGUUUACCGUACCCGUUGCUUUGGCGGCCCGUCGAAGACGGGCCGCCAAGGACCUUUAAAACCCGAUUUCAUUGUCGUCUGAGUACUAUACAAUAGUUAAAA
rnacentral:misc_RNA from 1 species